GCCGCCAACUGUCCCACGCACCCUCACCUACCUCAUUCACGGGGCUCUGCCUGUCCCAUAUCAGAGAACAUGGUCUGACCCUGAGCUCUUUUCAAGCGUCUGAGCCAUCGUGAUAGCCUCUCCUCCUGCACUUUGUCCCUGGCCCGUUUUCUUAUCUGCAAAAUAAAGAGAAACCCAACCCGUGCUCUAGCCAUGACCGUGGAACCGAGAUAUCUCCCAGGUCGUGAGAACCUGGGGCUGUGGAGGCUUGAACCCCUAGACCAGGACCCUAAGGUCCCAAUGGCCACCCUUUCUUCAUGACAGGGUUACAGCUAUCCGGACCGGCUGGUGCUGGACCAGGGAGGAGAGAUCUUUAAAACCUUACACUACCUCAGCAACCUCAUCCAGAGCAUUAAGACACCCCUGGGCACCAAAGAGAACCCCGCCCGGGUCUGCAGGGACCUCAUGGACUGUGAGCAAAAGAUGGUGGAUGGUACCUACUGGGUGGAUCCAAACCUUGGCUGCUCAUCUGACACCAUCGAGGUCUCCUGCAACUUCACGCAUGGUGGACAGACGUGUCUCAAGCCCAUCACGGCCUCCAAGGUCGAGUUUGCCAUCAGCCGGGUCCAGAUGAAUUUCCUGCACCUGCUAAGCUCCGAGGUGACCCAGCACAUCACCAUCCA
rnacentral:sRNA from 1 species